rnacentral:rRNA from 1 species
GAUGAACGCUGGCGGCGUGCCUAAUACAUGCAAGUCGAGCGAACGGACGAGAAGCUUGCUUCUCUGAUGUUAGCGGCGGACGGGUGAGUAACACGUGGAUAACCUACCUAUAAGACUGGGAUAACUUCGGGAAACCGGAGCUAAUACCGGAUAAUAUUUUGAACCGCAUGGUUCAAAAGUGAAAGACGGUCUUGCUGUCACUUAUAGAUGGAUCCGCGCUGCAUUAGCUAGUUGGUAAGGUAACGGCUUACCAAGGCAACGAUGCAUAGCCGACCUGAGAGGGUGAUAGGCCACACGGGAAGUGAGACACGGUCCAGACUCCUGAGGGAGGCAGCAGUAGGGAAUCUUCCGCAAUGGGCGAAAGCCUGACGGAGCAACGCCGCGUGAGUGAUGACGGUCUUCGGAUCGUAAAACUCUGUUAUUAGGGAAGAACAUAUGUGUAAGUAACUGUGCACAUCUUGACGGUACCUGAUCAGAAAGCCACGGCUAACUACGUG